AGGACUUGGCUCCAGUGCUCCCAAGUGAGGUACUAGUGCUGUGGAUAGCUUACUCUGCCACGACACCAGCCAUAUACUUCUCAUUCUUAAGUUGUGAUCACAGCAGCUGGGGUUCCACUACUGGCUCCUGCCCCGUAGGCCUUGGGGUCAAACAGCCUGCAUUCCCCCUGGCUCUGCUCUGUGCAUGAACUGAACACAUCACUUCCCCGCGGAGCAUACAAUCCUCUUGGCAGGACAAGAAGGGCCCCACCUGUCCUGCAGAGCUGAUGCAGAGGAGGACAGCAAGGAACAAGAUGGGAGGAGCAGCCGUAAACUCAGAACACAGAUGCCAUGUGCGAUCGCAGCACGUCACAGCAGAGCCCUUGUCUGAGACUUCUCCUGCUUUCUGGUCUGCAAGUUGGG